rnacentral:misc_RNA from 1 species
AAGUCGUAACAAGGUUUCCGUAGGUGAACCUGCGGAAGGAUCAUUAACACGUAUCCACGUAUCAACCAACUGUGAACUUGUUCUCAACCCUCCCUGCCGGCGAGAUGAAUUGGAAUCGAGUGUGAGUAUGAAUGGAACGAUCACGCGUAAGCGAGUGAGUUCAUCACACGAGACUAUCUGGAAGCAAUUCCUAACAAUUGUACUCGCUGCGUCAGGCAAACCCUUUCUGCUUCAUCAGAUCGUCGCUCAUCGAUCUGCGAGUGGAAUAGAAACACAAAUUUCACCCCCUUUUUGCUAGUUGACUUUUAUAUGUUGUCUGAUUCAUACUUAAUUGUAUGGGCCAUUCACACGUUUAUUAUUUGAACGUUAAAAUUACAACUCUUAGCAAUGGAUAUCUUGGUUCUC